rnacentral:rRNA from 1 species
GAUUAACAACAUCGAAUGAAGUGAAACGGAAAGAGAUGUUGGUCAAGCAACCCGAACGUUGAGUCGGAAAGUAAUCGAAGAGAGGAUUAUUAGUGAUACGUCUGUUGGGUAGGGGAGCGUUGUGUAAGCGGAUGAAGGUGAAUCGAGAGGUUUGCUGGACGUAUCACAAGUGCGAAUGCUGACAUAAGUAACGAUAAAACGAGUGAAAAACUCGUUCGCCGGAAGACCAAGGGUUCCUGUCCAACGUUAAUCGGGGCAGGGUGAGUCGGCCCCUAAGGCGAGGCUGAAAAGCGUAGUCGAUGGGAAACGGGUUAAUAUUCCCGUACUUGGUAAAGCUGCGAUGUGGGGACGGAGAAGGUUAGGUUAGCAGACUGUUGGAUGUCUGUUUAAGUUGGUAGGUGGGGAGUUUAGGCAAAUCCGGACUUCCAUAACACUGAGAGAUGAUGACGAGUUUCUACGGAAAUGAAGUAACUGAUACCACGCUUCCAGGAAAAGCCACUAAGCGAAAGGCUUUACUAAACCGUACUGAAAACCGACACAGGUGGUCAGGUAGAGAAUACUCAGGCGCUUGAGAGAACUCGGGUGAAGGAACUAGGCAAAAUAGCACCGUAACUUCGGGAGAAGGUGCGCUGGCGUAGGUUGUAGGAGUAUACCUCCGAAGGCUGAACCAGUCGAAGAUACCAGCUGGCUGCAACUGUUUAUUAAAAACACAGCACUCUGCAAACACGAAAGUGGACGUAUAGGGUGUGAUGCCUGCCCGGUGCUGGAAGGUUAAUUGAUGGUGU